rnacentral:rRNA from 1 species
UACGGAGGGUGCGAGCGUUGUCCGGAAUCAUUGGGCGUAAAGGGCGCGUAGGUGGCGCGGUAAGCGUGCGGUGAAAGCCCGGGGCUCAACCCCGGGUCGGCCGUGCGAACUGGUGGACUGGAGCUUGUCAGAGGCAGGCGGAAUUCCGGGUGUAGCGGUGGAAUGCGUAGAGAUCCGGAAGAACACCGGUGGCGAAGGCGGCCUGCUGGGACAGUGCUGACGCUGAAGCGCGACAGCGUGGGGAGCAAACAGG